GCUGCUGAGAAAGCUCUUCCUUGCCUCUUAGUUCUCGAAAGGCCUUUGAGACGCUGGCGAGGGUCCAGCAUUGGGAGUACUGAAAUCUCCGCGAGGAAGGCGCCGCGGUGUUUCCGAGCAGCCCGGGGCUGGGGGGUGUCGGUGGGGAACGUGGGCUGGGAGGAGCUCCUGGGACAGCCUCGCCGCCCCUCGGGAACCACCUCUCCCCUGCGCCGGCCGCCUUAGGGUUUUCCCUUCCUCACGGGAGCCUGGCCUUCGGUCCCCUGUAAGGCAGCUGCCACUACCAUGAGCCAACCUUGCUGCUUUUGGUUUGUGCUUACCUGCCAUAUGCUGUUAUGGGCAGAGUGCUUUAGAAAUCUCGUUCAACCCUGCCAGGAACCGUAGAGAUAGAGGAAUGUGUUAAACAACAUCAAUCGAUUAUAAUACACCAAAUACAGAAUACGAGAACAUCUCCGGACAAAUGAAUGAGUUUCUCCAACAAAUAAAUGAAAAUAAUAAAAAAGUGGGAAGAGGAACCUAUAGAUUAAAAGACAGUUAAGAAAUACAUGACAUGUCCAAACUAAAUGAGGAUAAAUUGUUUAGAUCUGGAUUCAAAUGCCCCAACUGUAAAAGCCUUUCUGAGAUAGGAAACAUUUGAGCACUGACUCUGUAUUUGGUAUUAAAUAAUUGUUAUUUUUAUGUGCAUCAAAGAUAAAGAUAUUUUGGCUAUCUUAAAA